rnacentral:tRNA from 1 species
UCCCUGAUGGCUAAGUGUAAAGAAUCUGCCUGCCAAUGCUGAAGACACAGGUUCAAUCCCUGAUUUGGGAA